GUCGACGGUGAUGAGGAGCUUGCUUCUUUGAUCAGUGGCGAACGGGUGAGUAACACGUGAGCAAUCUGCCCUUGACUCUGGGAUAACUGCGGGAAACUGUAGCUAAUACCGGAUACGACCUUUGGAGGCAUCUCUGGGGGUGGAAAGAAUUUUGGUCAAGGAUGAGCUCGCGGCCUAUCAGCUAGUUGGUGAGGUAAUGGCUCACCAAGGCGACGACGGGUAGCCGGCCUGAGAGGGUGACCGGCCACACUGGGACUGAGACACGGCCCAGACUCCUACGGGAGGCAGCAGUGGGGAAUAUUGCACAAUGGGCGCAAGCCUGAUGCAGCAACGCCGCGUGAGGGACGAAGGCCUUCGGGUUGUAAACCUCUUUUAGUAGGGAAGAAGCGACUGGGUUUUCCUGGAAGUGACGGUACCUGCAGAAAAAGCACCGGCUAACUACGUGCCAGCAGCCGCGGUAAUACGUAGGGUGCAAGCGUUGUCCGGAAUUAUUGGGCGUAAAGAGCUCGUAGGCGGUUUGUCGCGUCUGCUGUGAAAACCCGAGGCUCAACCUCGGGCCUGCAGUGGGUACGGGCAGACUAGAGUGCGGUAGGGGAGAUUGGAAUUCCUGGUGUAGCGGUGGAAUGCGCAGAUAUCAGGAGGAACACCAAUGGCGAAGGCAGAUCUCUGGGCCGUAACUGACGCUGAGGAGCGAAAGCAU
rnacentral:rRNA from 1 species